UCGAACUCAGUUAUCCGGUCUACCGACGAAAAUAUUGAAUGCUAAAAUCUAGAAUAAAAAACUCUCACUUGGUAAUUGAAUAUAAGUUUAUCGACGUGUGAAUUAGCUGGCAAAGAAUAUAAUUUGGUCAAAAAAACGUGGAAUAUAGAAAAUGGCCAAUAAAAACCAGUUAUCUAGUUAUUUUUUUGUCUACGUUUAGAAUUUGCCGUAGUACGAAACAAAGAGAAGAAGCGUAGUAAAAGGCAUUGAUUGUUUGAAUGGAACAACCGAGUUACGAUAUCUCUCAAGACGAAGCACGUGAGUCUCUCAUUGCCAUCUCCUACACUUCACCGGAGGAGGUUGAAGAGUCUCUAACGUCCUCAGAUGUGAAACCUAUCGCCGCCACUACAACAAACGGAGUCGUCACUAAAAGAAACUCUGAAGAUGCUGAAAAGCUCAGAUCAGAGCUGAUUUCCAUCUCCUACGACGAGUCACCCUCACCCUCACCCUCACCAGUUGUAGCUGUCUGAUAGGACUAAUUGUACAGAUCCAAAGUCUUUUCCUUUCAUGCAUUCGACAUUGGUUUUGUUUGAAAGUUAAGACACUCUUCAACUAUAUGAUUGAAAAUUGACGAAAGUUUCUCUC